UCCCCUAGUAACGGCGAGUGAAGCGGGAAGAGCUCAAAUUUAAAAUCUGGCGCCUCCGGUGCCCGAGUUGUAAUCUAGAGAGGUGUUUUCCGCGCCGGACCGUGCACAAGUCCCUUGGAACAGGGCGUCGUAGAGGGUGAGAAUCCCGUCCACGGCACGGACUCCCGGUGCUCUGUGAUACGCCUUCAAAGAGUCGAGUUGUUUGGGAAUGCAGCUCAAAAUGGGUGGUAAAUUCCAUCUAAAGCUAAAUACAGGCGAGAGACCGAUAGCGAACAAGUACCGUGAGGGAAAGAUGAAAAGAACUUUGGAAAGAGAGUUAAACAGUACGUGAAAUUGUUGAAAGGGAAACGCUUGGAGUCAGUCGCGUCUGCCGGGACUCAGCCGGGCUUGCUCGGUGCAUUUCUCGGUGGACGGGCCAGCAUCGAUUUCUUCCGCCGGAUAAAGGCAAGAGGAAGGUGGCACCCCUCGGGUGUGUUAUAGCCUCUUGCUAAACGGUGGUGGGGAUCGAGGACCGCAGCACGGAUCGGGGUUCGCCCACGCCGCGUGCUUAGGAUGCUGGCGUAAUGGCUUUUAAGCGACCCGUCUUGAAACACGG
rnacentral:rRNA from 1 species